CGGGUGCGUAACGCGUACGAAACAUACCUUCAACAGGGAGAUACCUCCGGGAAACUGGAAAUAAUACCCCAUAGUAUUGAGAUAUCGCAUGAUAUUUCAAUUAAAGCUUUGGCGGUUGAAGAUUGUCGUGCGUCUGAUUAGCUAGUUGGUGAGGUAACGGCUCACCAAGGCGACGAUCAGUAGCUGGUCUGAGAGGAUGAUCAGCCACACUGGAACUGAGACACGGUCCAGACUCCUACGGGAGGCAGCAGUAGGGAGUAUUGGACAAUGGGCGGAAGCCUGAUCCAGCCAUCCCGCGUGUAGGAAUAAGGCCCUAUGGGUUGUAAACUACUUUUAUUAGGGAAGAAAAACUUUGAUUUAUCAGAGCUUGACGGUACCUAAGGAAUAAGCACCGGCUAACUCCGUG
rnacentral:rRNA from 1 species